AACGAACGCUGGCGGCGCGCCUAAUACAUGCAAGUCGAGCGAGAAGACGUAGCAAUACGUUUGUAAAGCGGCGAACGGGUGAGGAAUACAUGGGUAACCUACCCUCGAGUGGGGAAUAACUAGCCGAAAGGUUAGCUAAUACCGCGUACGCUCCUCGGACUUCGGUUCAGGGAGGAAAGCGAUACCGUGGGUAUCGCGCUCUUGGAUGGGCUCAUGUCCUAUCAGCUUGUUGGUGAGGUAACGGCUCACCAAGGCUUCGACGGGUAGCUGGUCUGAGAGGACGAUCAGCCACACUGGCACUGCGACACGGGCCAGACUCCUACGGGAGGCAGCAGUAAGGAAUAUUGCGCAAUGGGCGAAAGCCUGACGCAGCGACGCCGCGUGAGGGAUGACGGCCUGG
rnacentral:rRNA from 1 species